rnacentral:lncRNA from 1 species
AUCCCUCCCAAAUUAUGAAAGUCACAAGUACAGAGUUGUUCUAACAAAAGAAUACAAGUCCCAAAAGUAGUUCAAUAGCAAGCUUGUCUCAAAAUACAAAAAACUAGAUAUACAAUAUACAAAGGAGACAUGCUAGUCUAGAACGUCGAGUGCUCACCCUCACCUUCGAUCCACAAAAGUUGUUGCAGGCAUGAACGGUCAUCACUGGUAACUGGUACUAGGGCCUGCAUCACGAAACAGAUGCACAAUGUAGCAUGAGUACCAAAACAAAGGUACUUAGUAGGCAUCAUAGGUUGACUGAGAAAGAAAGGUAAAAGACAAUAUGAAAAUAUAGAAUCUAAACACAAAUAGAGGUCAAAGCAAAAUUUAAGGAAAAGCACACGAGCGUACCAGAAAUAAAAACUAAGUACAACUAAGCUAAACCUAACUGGACCCCCAUAAGCCUAGAAGGUACACUCGUGCGCAAGUUUAAGUAAAACCCGAACGGACCUCCAUAAGACCAACAUGUACACAGAAUAGCUAGCUAAUAAGACUGAAGCAUGGUGAAUCCAUGUCCAAUAAGUGAAAACUUGCCUCUAACCACAAGUACCCAAUGAAAAGGGCCGCCUAGCAAGCUAGUAAACUCCUACGGACUUCAGCUGCCUAGCUAGCAAGAGUUAACCCAAGGGAGUCAAUAAUACCAAACCUCUUACCCUAAGUAACCAAUCAAGGCCACCCAGCCAACCAGUAAAAUCUCAGGGCAUCAACCGCCUAGCUAGCAGAGUAAACCCGGGAGGGGGGGGGGUGUCGCCUCCAAAAGAGGAUCUCAUCAACACCAACAACAAUAACACUAUUGAACGACGUCCACUCGCAAGCAACCCGCAACAACGCUCCAAGCUCGAACCAACUCCAAUCUCAAGUUGUCCAGUGAAGCGCCAAGCUUCAAAUAUCGUAACGGGGGCGUAGAAAGAGAGAGAGAGGGCAAAAGGUCGCCAAAGUAGGGACACCGCAUAAAAUAAGGCUCAUUUUAUCAGAGUUAAGUCUGCUACACUAACAUACAAGGAACUAAGUCAUCCAAAUCGAUGCCGGAGAAGAAACAAGGCCUAGACACUAUAAAUGUCGCGAGUCUAUGGAAAGAACUAGUCUAAGCCUAUACUAAGGCCAAAGAUGCUCAAUUAUACAAUCACAACAACAUACAAGUCAAAACACAAGAUAAGGAUAAACACAUAACCCCAGCUAGCAUGGUUCUAAUCCCGAAAUAAUGUCAAUCAAGCCUAAAACAUGGUUUCUAUGAAAUGAAAUAAGAACAACUAGGUACCCGCCCAAAUUGACUCUAGUCAACAUAUGUUCACACAUUCAAGCUCAAUCUAGGAGACGGAAAGUCAUAGCCUACCUUAAGGAUGACCGCACGUGCUCCAAAUCACAUGUCCCGAGCUUUUCCUUUACGAACAACCUCAGAAUGCAGCCCCGCUAUUAAAAAUAGGAUCACAAUGUUAAUACGAUCGUUUAGACACCAAAACCAUAUAAAACAAAGACGGAUCAAUUUUGGAAUCAAACGGAAAUCAUGGGACCAAUGCCAGAACUUCUGGAUCGACUCAGUCAAAAGGUCUUAAAUAGUACCCCAAACUUGUGUUCCAAAAUGGAACACAAUUCGGACCUCGAAACAACAAGAACAAACAACAUGCGACAAUUUCACCAUUAAAGACAACAACUAAGCUAAGGUACCCUACAAUUGCACGAAUUUACCUCAAAUGAGAGACGCCUAACACUUUUUUAUCACACCACUGCAUAGACCCAAGCUCCACAAAUACACCGGACUUCGAAUUGCUGCAAUUGAAGCUCUAAAGAGGGAUGAAUCUCUAAAACUCAAGCGACCACUUAUGUCACUUAAGUGACUGGCCUGCAAGAGGUGUGCCUUGCUUCCACGAGCCCAUGGUCGCUAAAGCGAGGCUAGCUAAAACAACAUUAGGGUCGCGAAAGAACCAUGGCCUGGACUGCUAAGCUCUCUUAAGCGAUCCCUUGGACGUAAAGCGAUAUCCGCUUAAACAAUGAUAGAGCUGCUAAAGCGGCUUCCACCUAGUUGGCCUAGCUUGCUAAAACGGAGCCUUGGAUGCUAAAGCGAAGGUCGCUUAAACGAGCCCAAGGUCGUAAAAGCGAGUGACACUAACAUUAGGUACCAACAAAAAUCAGCUUAGUUUUGUUCGGAACCCCGUACACACAAAAGAGAUAUACAACCCAAUCAAAUUCGACAUUUUCAGACUCAAAGGAGUAGUCAACUUCUAUACAAGGUUGUCUUGACAAAAAAGUGGGUCCCACACCCAAACUCCAGUUUAAGCCAAAAUCCACAAAGGGGCUCAGAAUUUGCCUGGGAGCCUCGAGAUCCGCACGGAGGGUUGUUCUUGACCAAACUCAGCAUUUCGGAGCUAACCCCGCUAGUGAAAUUCUUAGCCAGGAAUGUUUACCAAAAAUCUAGAGAGAAAGAUCCAAGUGCAAAUAUUGUGUCAAGCUGAUCCAGGUAUAGCAAGAUAGUUCUCGUCUUCUUCUUCUACCUACUUUCCUUUAUAGCACUUUUAGCCUUGAAAAGAUAUUCAAUGUUGACCAAGGUCAAACUUAGGCCAUAACUUGAAAGUAAAAACACCUAAUCGCACAAAGUCGCACGAAAGCCUUGGGAGUCAUGCUGACCAUUUUACUAGCCUAAAAUAACCCUUUCAGAGAUGAUGGAAUCGUCAGAAUUGGAUUCUGAGGUCAUUUUCCCAAAAUUUUGAUCGAAAAUGACCGUUCAAGGUUUAAAAUCUCCAAAACACAGAAAUUCGCAUAAAACCCAAAGGAACGACCAGGUGACCAAACUGUUAAUCCCAGCAAGUCAUAAAUGACUUGGGAUCGCUAUACGAAGUCUCUAACGACGAACAAAAGGCAUUAACACAUAAAUAAACUAGAGGGUCAUUACAACAUCCACUACUAAAAGGACUUUCAUUCGCGAAAGUAAGAGUCAAGAAGUACCUGAAGGCUCAAACAAGCCAGGAAACUACUCUCACAUCACAUGCUCGGUCUUUCAGGUAGCUUGCUCAACUAGACGAUUCCUCCAAUAGAUCUUCAUGAUAGGAAGACUCUCAAACGCAACCGUCGCACAUCUUUGGCUAGAAUAUCGUUUGAUCUCGUUUCUUCUCCUUUGUUGGGUUUUGUUUUUUCUUCGGAAGGGUGACACUUUUCUACGUCGGAGUUGCAUUCGUCUUGGGCGGCAGAGUUUGAGUUAAAAUAUUAAAACUUGGAGGCUCUAUUUCAACAUUAGAUACAUCCUCUACAAAUCUCAUACUCUUUCUAGGUGUAUGGUGAACUUUUUUAUUCUUUGGCAUGUUUGUUUAUAACCGAACCUUUUGAUUCUUCACAAUGUGUACAAGAUUUGUGGAGGCUUUCAUUUGAAUGGAUAAGAAGAACAAUGAAGAAGUUGAGAGAGAAAGAGUGAUGACCGCGGGGAGAAAGAGAAGUGUGGGUAUGUGGGAGUAGGGAUGGAGGGUGACGUGUGAUAAGUUAAGAAAAUCCCUUGAAAGGUGUAAUUGAUAAUUAUCAAUUGAUUCUCUCCCAUUAAUGUUAUUUCUCUGACCUAUUAAUUAUAAUAACAUUAUAUAAUUACUUAAUAAAAUGUACUUAAUUAAUUAAAAAAAUUAAAAUUGAUAUGUUAAUUCUUGUAAUUAAAACUUUAUAAGUAGUAAUUAAAAAAAAUAUAGAUAUAAAGGCUGUAACAUUAACCCUUUAAUAGAUGUAUGGUGAUUUUUUCAUUUGUAAA